rnacentral:lncRNA from 1 species
GCCCAGCUCAACAUUGGCAAUGUUCUCUCUGUGGAUACCAUGCCUGAGAGGUACAAUCAUGUGCUGCUUGGAGGAGAAGCCUAGAGACCAUGGCAAGCUGACCCAGGCAUCAGGGAACUAUGCCACAGUUAUCUCCCACAAUCCUGAGACCAAGAAGAGCCGUGUAAAGCUACCCUCUGGCUCCAAGAAGGUUACCUCCUCAGCCAACAGAGCUGUGGUUGGUGUGGUGGCUGGAGGUGGCCAAAUUGACAAACCCAUCCUGAAGGCUGGCUGGGCAUACCACAGAUAUAAGGCAAAGAGGAACUGCUGGCCACAAGUACGGGGUGGGGUGUGAACAUGAACCCUGUGGAGCAUCAUUUCGGAGGGAGGUGGCAGCCACCAGCACAUCGGCAAGCCCUCCACCAUCUGCAGAGAUGCCUCUGCUGGCCAAAGUGGGUCUCAUUGCUGCCCGCCAGACGGGAUAGUCUAGGGAACCAAGACCGGGCAGGAGAAAGAGAACUAG